UACGUAGGGGGCAAGCGUUGUCCGGAUUUAUUGGGCGUAAAGCGCUCGCAGGUGGUUCGUCGCGUCGUGCGUGAAAGACCCCGGCUCAACUGGGGGAGGUCGUGCGAUACGGGCGGACUGGAGGCCAGUAGGGGGAUGCGGAAUUCCGGGUGUAGUGGUGGAAUGCGUAGAGAUCCGGAGGAACACCAGCGGCGAGGGCGGCAUCCUGGACUGGUCCUGACACUCAUGAGCGAAAGCGUGGGGAGCGAUCCGG
rnacentral:rRNA from 1 species